rnacentral:rRNA from 1 species
UAUCCAACCUGCCGAUGACUCGGGGAUAGCCUUUCGAAAGAAAGAUUAAUACCCGAUGGCAUAGUUCUUCCGCAUGGUAGAACUAUUAAAGGAUUUCGGUCAUCGAUGGGGAUGCGUUCCAUUAGGUUGUUGGCGGGGUAACGGCCCACCAAGCCUUCGAUGGAUAGGGGUUCUGAGAGGAAGGUCCCCCACAUUGGAACUGAGACACGGUCCAAACUCCUACGGGAGGCAGCAUG